rnacentral:rRNA from 1 species
CCUGCGGAAGGAUCAUUAAUAAACCUAGUCGUUCGCGUACACAGGGGCAACCCUCGCGCGAUGUCAGCAAUACCUAGGUAACCCUUGAAUAAACUACCCUUGUUGCUUUGGCGGGCCGCCUCUCUUGGCCAGCGGCUCCGGCUGCUGCGCGCCCGCCAGAGGACCACAACUCUUGUUUUUAGUGAUGUCUGAGUACUAUAUAAUAGUUAAAACUUUCAACAACGGAUCUCUUGGUUCUGGCAUCGAUGAAGAACGCAGCGAAAUGCGAUAAGUAAUGUGAAUUGCAGAAUUCAGUGAAUCAUCGAAUCUUUGAACGCACAUUGCGCCCUUUGGUAUUCCGAAGGGCAUGCCUGUUCGAGCGUCAUUAUAACCACUCAAGCCUUCGCUUGGUAUUGGGGUUCGCGGUUUCGCGGCCCCUAAAAUCAGUGGCGGUGCCUGUCGGCUCUACGCGUAGUAAUACUCCUCGCGUCUGGGUUCCGGUAGGUUGCUUGCCAGCAACCCCUAAAUUUUUUACAGGUUGACCUCGGAUCAGGUAGGGAUACCCGCUGAACUUAAGCAUAUCAUAAAGCGGGAAGAAAACAUUAAUAAACCUAAGUCGUUCGGGUACCAGGGGGCAACCUCGCGCGAUGUCAGCAAUACCUAGGUAACCCUUGAAUAAACUACCCUUGUUGCUUUGGCGGGCCCCUCUCUUGGCCAGCGGCUCCGGCUGCUGCGCGCCGCCAAAGGACACAACUCUUGUUUUUUAGUGAUGUCUGAGUACUAUAUAAUAAGUUAAAAACUUUUCAACAACGGAAUCUCUUGGGUUCUGGGCAUCCAUGAAAGAAAGCAGCAAAAUGCAAUAAGUUAAUGGUGAAUUGCAGAAAUUCAGUGAAAUCAUCGAAAUCUU